GAUGAAGAACGCAGCGAAAUGCGAUACGUAGUGUGAAUUGCGGAAUUCAGUGAAUCAUCGAAUCUUUGAACGCACAUUGCACCUCUCGGUAUUCCGGGAGGUAUGCCUGUUCGAGCGUCAUUUGUACCCUCAAGCUCUGCUUGGUGUUGGGUGUUUGUUCCGCCUCUGUGUGUGAACUCGCCUCAAAACAAUUGGCAGCCGGCGUACUUGUUUCGGAGCGCAGCACAUUUUGCGAUCCAGAUCAACGUACAGCGGCAUCCAAGAAGCCUUAUUUAACGCUCUUGACCUCGGAUCAGGUAGGGAUACCCGCUGAACUUAAGCAUAUCAAUAAGCGGAGGA
rnacentral:misc_RNA from 1 species